rnacentral:ncRNA from 1 species
UGCGGUCACAAAAUCCAACGGAUUUUUAAACGUUAGCUUUUGCCAACGGCCCCUUCUGGGCGAACAACCGAACUUGAUUUGAUUGUGAGUCAUUUU